rnacentral:rRNA from 1 species
AUUGAACGCUGGCGGCAGGCCUAACACAUGCAAGUCGAGCGGAGCGGCGUACGGGUGAGUAAUGCCUAGGAAUCUGCCUGGUAGUGGGGGAUAACGUCCGGCAACGGGCGCUAAUACCGCAUACUAUCAGCUGAGCCUAGGUCGGAUUAGCGAGUUGGGGGGUGAAAGGCCUCCCAAGGCGACGACCCGUAACUGGUCUGAGAGGAGGAUUAGUCAGACGGGGACCUGGACGCGGUCCAGACUACUUAGGGAGGAAGCAGUGGGGGAUAGUGGACGAUGGGCGAAAGCCGGAUGCAGCCAUGCCGCGUGUGUGAAGAAGGUUUUCGGAUUGUAAAGCACUGUAGGUUUUGAGGCGUUACCAACAGGAUAAGCACCAGCUAACUUCGUGCCAGCAGCCGGGGUAAUUC